rnacentral:rRNA from 1 species
GUGGUGACUCAUAGUAACUUAAUCGGAUCGCAUGGGCUUGUCCCGCGACAAACCAUUCAAGUUUCUGCCCCAUCAUGCUUUCGAUGGUAGUGUAUUGGACUACCAUGGCUUUCACGGGUAACGGAGGAUUAGGGUUCGAUUCCGGAGAGGGAGCCUGAGAAACGGCUACCACUUCCACGGAAGGCAGCAGGCGCGUAAAUUACCCAAUCCUGACUCAGGGAGGUAGUGACAAGAAAUAAUGGGUCGGGGUUCUGCCCCGGGACUGCAAUGAGACGAAUUUAGACCCCUUAUCGAGGACCAAUUGGAGGGCAAGUCUGGUGCCAGCAGCCGCGGUAAUUCCAGCUCCAAUAGCGUAUAUUAAAGUUGUUGCAGUUAAAAAGCUCGUAGUUGGAUUUCUGGUAGUGGGCAAGAGCUCGUUGCACGUUGCUCGCGUUCAUUGCCAUCCUUCUGUUAACCUAUCAGGGCAUUCUAUUGUCAGUUAGGGGCUCAGAUAUUUUACCUUGAGAAAAUUAGAGUGUUUCAGGCAGGCUUGUGCCCGGAUACAUUAGCAUGGAAUAAUGGAAUAGGACUUUAGCCUCUUCUGUUGGUCUGAGGGGUUGAAGUAAUGAUUAAUAGGGAUAGUUGGGGGCAUUAGUACUUAACUGUCAGAGGUGAAAUUCUCGGAUUUGUUAAAGACUAACUUAUGCGAAAGCAUUUGCCAAGGAUGUUUUCAUUAAUCAAGAACGAAAGUUAGGGGAUCAAAGACGAUCAGAUACCGUCCUAGUCUUAACCAUAAACUAUGCCGACUCGGGAUCGGGGGCCAGAGUUAACUGCCUUCGGCACCGUAUGAGAAAUCAAAGUCUUUGGGUUCUGGGGGGAGUAUGGUCGCAAGGCUGAAACUUAAAGGAAUUGACGGAAGGGCACCACCAGGCGUGGAGCUUGCGGCUCAAUUUGACUCAACACGGGGAAACUUACCAGGUCCAGACAUAGUGAGGAUUGACAGAUUGAUAGCUCUUUCUUGAUUCUGUGGGUGGUGGUGCAUGGCCGUUCUUAGUUGGUGGAGUGAUUUGUCUGGUUAAUUCCGUUAACGAACGAGACCUUAGCCUACUAAAUAGUCGCAACAAUUACGAUUGGCUGCGUCUUCUUAGAGGGACUUUGCAAGCAACUGCAAGGAAGUUUGAGGCAAUAACAGGUCUGUGAUGCCCUUAGAUGUCCUGGGCCGCACGCGUGCUACACUGACGCAUACAGCGAGUAUCACCAGCUCCGUGAGGCUGCUGGUAAUCAGCAAUAUGCGUCGUGCUGGGGAUAGAUCUUUGGAAUUUUUGAUCUUGAACGAGGAAUGCCUAGUAAGCGCAGGUCAUCAGCCUGCGUUGAUUAAGUCCCUGCCCUUUGUACACACCGCCCGUCGCUCCUACCGAUUUCGAGUGGUCCGGUGAACCCUUUGGACCGAGAGCGCCUCGUGAGCUUUUGGAAAGUCGAGUAAACCACAUCACUUAGAGGAAGGACAAGUCGUAACAAGGUUUCCGUAGGUGAACCUGCGGAAGGAUCAUUAA